GGGGGCGGAUGCUAACUGGUGUUGGCCACGGACUUCAAAUCCGUUUGCGGCGCAGCGAUCCUGUGCCUGGUGUGUUCGAUUCGCACACGCCCUCGCCA
rnacentral:tRNA from 1 species